UGCAAGUCGGGCGGUAACACAGGGAGCUUGCUCCUGGGUGACGAGCGGCGGACGGGUGAGUAAUGUCUGGGAAACUGCCUGAUGGAGGGGGAUAACUACUGGAAACGGUAGCUAAUACCGCAUAACGUCUUCGGACCAAAGUGGGGGACCUUCGGGCCUCAUGCCAUCAGAUGUGCCCAGAUGGGAUUAGCUAGUAGGUGGGGUAAUGGCUCACCUAGGCGACGAUCCCUAGCUGGUCUGAGAGGAUGACCAGCCACACUGGAACUGAGACACGGUCCAGACUCCUACGGGAGGCAGCAGUGGGGAAUAUUGCACAAUGGGCGCAAGCCUGAUGCAGCCAUGCCGCGUGUAUGAAGAAGGCCUUCGGGUUGUAAAGUACUUUCAGCGAGGAGGAAGGCAUUAAGGUUAAUAACCUUGGUGAUUGACGUUACUCGCAGAAGAAGCACCGGCUAACUCCGUGCCAGCAGCCGCGGUAAUACGGAGGGUGCAAGCGUUAAUCGGAAUUACU
rnacentral:rRNA from 1 species